rnacentral:rRNA from 1 species
GACGAACGCUGGCGGCGUGCUUAACACAUGCAAGUCGAACGGUGAAGCUCCAGCUUGCUGGAGUGGAUCAGUGGCGAACGGGUGAGUAACACGUGAGCAACCUGCCCCUGACUCUGGAAUAAGCGCUGGAAACGGCGUCUAAUACUGGAUACGAGAAGGGUCCGCAUGGGCACUUUCUGGAAAGUUUUUCGGUUGGGGAUGGGCUCGCGGCCUAUCAGCUUGUUGGUGAGGUAAUGGCUCACCAAGGCGACGACGGGUAGCCGGCCUGAGAGGGCGACCGGCCACACUGGGACUGAGACACGGCCCAGACUCCUACGGGAGGCAGCAGUGGGGAAUAUUGCACAAUGGGCGAAAGCCUGAUGCAGCGACGCCACGUGAGGGAUGACGGCCUUCGGGUUGUAAACCUCUUUCAGCAGGGAAGAAGCGAAAGUGACGGUACCUGCAGAAGAAGCACCGGCUAACUACGUG